rnacentral:tRNA from 1 species
AUUAAAAUAGCUCAAAGUUAGAGUUUUGCAUUGAAGCUGCAAAGGUGGUCAAGGCCUUUUAAUA